rnacentral:tRNA from 2 species
GGGAUUAUAGUUUAAUUGGUAGAACAACUGCUUUGCAAGCUGUAAACAUGAGUUCAAAUCUCAUUAAUUCCA